GGGUUUUGUAUAAAUUACAGUUCGGUAUCCUAUAGGAAUUUGAGUGUAUUAGUGAUGCCGGAGAUAAGAAUUUCAGAUAAACGGCGAGUUGAAUUGUAUUCCUGGCAUUGUAAUUCGUACUUCCUACAUUCGGUUAAAACGCGUUUGGUCGUCAGAAGAAAAUUACAAGUCGGGCAUAUCGGGAGGAUCUUUUUUCUUCAUUGGGUAGUCAUGAGUUAAUCUGGUA